rnacentral:rRNA from 1 species
GACGAACGCUGGCGGCGUGCUUAACACAUGCAAGUCGAACGGAAAGGCCCUGCUGUUGUGGGGUGCUCGAGUGGCGAACGGGUGAGUAACAAGUGAGUAACCUGCCCUUGACUUUGGGAUAACUUCAGGAAACUGGGGCUAAUACCGGAUAGGAGCUCCUGCUUCAUGGUGGGGGUUGGAAAGUUUCGGCGGUUGGGGAUGGACUCGCGGCUUAUCAGCUUGUUGGUGGGGUAGUGGCUUACCAAGGCUUUGACGGGUAGCCGGCCUGAGAGGGUGACCGGCCACAUUGGGACUGAGAUACGGCCCAGACUCCUACGGGAGGCAGCAGUGGAGAAUAUUGCACAAUGGGCGGAAGCCUGAUGCAGCAACGCCGCGUGCGGGAUGACGGCCUUCGGGUUGUAAACCGCUUUCGCCUGUGACGAAGCGUGAGUGACGGUAAUGGGUAAAGAAGCACCGGCUAACUACGUG